GUAGGUGGCGAGCGUUAUCCGGAUUUACUGGGCGUAAAGCGCGUGCAGGCGGUUCCGUAAGUCGGACGUGAAAGCUCCUGGCUUAACUGGGAGAGGCCGUUCGAUACUGCGGGACUUGAGGUCGGGAGAGGGACGUGGAAUUCCCGGUGUAGUGGUGGAAUGCGUAGAUAUCGGGAGGAACACCAGUGGCGAAGGCGGCGUCCUGGCCCGCACCUGACGCUAAGACGCGAAGGCGUGGGUAGCGAACGGGAUUAGAUACCCCGGGUAGUCCACGCCGUAAACGGUGGAUACUAGGUGUUGGUGGCUAUCGUCAUCAGUGCCGUAGCUAACGCGUUAAGUAUCCCGCCUGGGGACUACGGCCGCAAGGCUA
rnacentral:rRNA from 1 species